rnacentral:rRNA from 1 species
GGCUCAGGACGAACGCUGGCGGCGUGCUUAACACAUGCAAGUCGAACGGUGAACCGGGCUUCGGCCCGGGGAUCAGUGGCGAACGGGUGCGUAACACGUGGGCAACCUGCCCCAGACACUGGGAUAACUCCGGGAAACCGGGGCUAAUACCGGAUACUCUCGCCCGAUCACAUGAUCGGUCGAGGAAAGCUCCGACGGUCUGGGAUGGGCCCGCGGCCUAUCAGCUUGUUGGUGGGGUAACGGCCUACCAAGGCGACGACGGGUAGCUGGUCUGAGAGGACGACCAGCCACACUGGAACUGAGACACGGUCCAGACUCCUACGGGAGGCAGCAGUGGGGAAUCUUGCGCAAUGGGCGAAAGCCUGACGCAGCGACGCCGCGUGGGGGAUGAAGGCCCUCGGGUCGUAAACCCCUUUCGGCAGGGACGAAGCGAACGUGACGGUACCUGCAGAAGAAGUCCCGGCUAACUACGUGCCAGCAGCCGCGGUAAGACGUAGGGGACGAGCGUUGUCCGGAUUCAUUGGGCGUAAAGAGCGCGUAGGCGGCCGCGCAAGUCGGAUGUGAAAACCCGGGGCUCAACCCCGGGCCUGCAUCCGAUACUGCGUGGCUAGAGGUAGGUAGGGGAGAUCGGAAUUCCUGGUGUAGCGGUGAAAUGCGCAGAUAUCAGGAGGAACACCGGUGGCGAAGGCGGAUCUCUGGGCCUUACCUGACGCUCAGGCGCGAAAGCUAGGGGAGCGAACAGGAUUAGAUACCCUGGUAGUCCUAGCCGUAAACGUUGGGUGCUAGGUGUGGGUGGACAUCAACCCCAUCCGUGCCGAAGCUAACGCAUUAAGCACCCCGCCUGGGGAGUACGGCCG